UGGGUUGGAGAAAGUUAUUUAGAUAAACAUUAAGUGUAUAGAUAAAAUAAAUACAAAGAAAGUGUAAUAUUACAUACAUUAGUGACAAAAUGGAAUUACAAUUUAAAGAUAGUCGAGUUCCUUUGAAUAUGCAUAUCCUUGAAGUGGCCAAAACCUUUCUGAGUAAAUCGAUCCCUUCUACAAAAAGAACCAACCAAAAGGUAUGAGGAUAGUCUUUUAAUAUAUAAUUAAAAUC
rnacentral:lncRNA from 1 species